CAAGCCGGUUGACAAAUUUGGGGUUUCUUAGCGGCAUUUGCCAGUAUUAAAUGACUGCAAUGCCCUUGGAAAUCCCAAAAAUGUUCAAUACAUCU
rnacentral:pre_miRNA from 1 species